AGAUGAUUGGAACACCUGGAGUAUAAGUGGAGUAAAGAGUACAGAAGAAAUGCCUCUGGCGGAAAAUUUGAAGCAGUUUCUGUGCAAGACUGGAGCUCACACAUGAAGCCAACUCUGAGGAAGUACAAAGUGUUGUCCCCAAUCCUCGUAAUAUCCAGCUUCUUUGGCAGCUUGCUCUGCCCAAAAGAAGAUAGGAGACAGACAGACAGACAAACACACAGGCAUACACACAGAUGCGCAGAUGGACAGACAAUAAACUUUUCCUGGGGAUGUGAAGGUAAGCAAACCAACAAAGUAAAGAUUUAU
rnacentral:lncRNA from 1 species